AGGCGAAACCGGGCGGGGCUCGGAAAUCCCGCCCGUUCGUAUCCGCGUGGUGGCGGAUGCCUGACGAUGCCAGCCAGCA
rnacentral:hammerhead_ribozyme from 1 species